rnacentral:lncRNA from 1 species
CGAGGNNNNNNNNNNNNNNNNNNNNNNNNNNNNNNNNNNNNNNNNNNNNNNNNNNCCUGAGCUCUCCGACAUGAGCUUCCAGGCAGUGCGCUCAUGCCAAGGCCCUCCGACCCCUGCCCAACAGCAAAGCAAGGGGCAGGGCCUUGGAGGGAGUGGGGCUCGUUCCCUCAGGGUCCUCAGCCCCCUGCUGUUCCCGAGGGCAGCCUCCCUCCCCUGGGCUCAGCCCCACCUGGGCUUCGAGCUCCUGUUUCCUCGCCGACUUCAGUUCUUCACUCUCUUCUUUCUCACGACGAGCUGACUCUCUCGCAUCCUCGAGAUUUUGAAUGAGCUGCUCCCUGUGUUUCAGGGAUUCCUCUUGUGCACGGCGGUUCUGUUCAAUCUUCUCCCGUAUCUGCUCUUGUCUCCCUGUCAGAACCUAUGCUUAGCAAAAGAGGAAAAGGAGGAUUUUGGUUUGAUUCUAAAAGAUGCCCACUCUGCCAGCCUCCAGAGGGUGCAGUGACCCUGAGACCUAAUCCUCGGCUUCAGAUGACGGUACUGGGUCCAGUCAGCACUGGCAGCGUGCGCCCCUGCUCAGGAGGCGUUCCCACGGCCCAGCACACACACACAUCCCGCCUGCGGACACAGACGAGCCCCAGGUGGUUGAAGGAGGCACAGAGGACAGCCGCCUCCCGGGGGCACAGAACCUUCUCACCCACAAGAUUUUUUCCUAAAAGAACAAAUACUGCUUUUACAAGGAUUUUAAAAUAACCAAGAAGACUGAUCCCAGAACAUGCGGCAGGGUCAGCCUGGGAUGGGAACACCCAGACCUCUGCCCGGGGAGCCCAAGGACCCCCCGCGUGCACCGCAGCUGAAGUCACCUCGUUCAUCAGUCUGUCCCGCGCGCUCCUCUCUCGGGCCCACUCGGCCUCUCUCUUUUCCCACAUUUCCUUGGCUUCUUCCCUGGGCAAACAGAAAACGGAUGAGAGCGGGCUCCUAACCCCACCAAGGGCAGCAAGUUAACCACAGAACAGACAGGGCUCCAGAUGGAGCAUUAGUCACCACAGCCCCGGGCUUCCUGCGGGGUCGGCCUUCAGACCGUCCCACGCACACUUGUUAAAGAGGAGUCUUACAAUGGUGGACGAUGGGUAUGGGGAAAGGCAGGAAGAGAUGAGAGGUGGAGGCGUCUUUGGGACAUGGAGCUGCCCUGGAUGGUGCUUCAGAGGUAAUCACCGGACAUUGUAAAUCCUCACAGGGCCCACUGGAUGGAAUGGAGGAGAGUAUGGGCCAUGAUGUGAACCAUUGUCUAUGAGGUGCAGAGGUGCCCAAAGAUGUACUUACCAAAUCCAAUGGAUGUGUCAUGAUGAUGGGAACG